UACGUAGGGUGCGAGCGUUAAUCGGAAUUACUGGGCGUAAAGCGUGCGCAGGCGGUUCUGAAAGUCAGCUGUGAAAGCCCCGGGCUUAACCUGGGAAUUGCGGUUGAAACUACAGGGCUAGAAUCUGGCAGAGGGGGGUGGAAUUCCACGUGUAGCAGUGAAAUGCGUAGAGAUGUGGAGGAACACCAAUGGCGAAAGCAGGUAACUGGACUAUUACUGACACUCAGCUGCGAAAGCUAGGGGAGCAAACAGG
rnacentral:rRNA from 1 species